rnacentral:lncRNA from 13 species
UAUCUCUCUCUCUCUCUCUCUAGGGAGAUGAAUAAGAGGCUAACAGAGGACCAGGGGAGGAAGACGUUCGACCGAGCCAUGAAGCUGGAGCAGGAGUUCACCGAGCACUUCACUGCUAUCGUCCAGGGGGACUCUCUGGAGGAGAUUUAUAACACAGUGAAGAGGAUCAUCGAGGAGCAGUCAGGACCCUUCAUCUGGGUGCCUGCCAAGGACAAGUUGUGAAGGAGAAGAGAAACAGAAGAGAUUACCUUUUUCUUUCUGCCGUCCUCGUUCUCUUCUUUGAUUUUACGUCUAAUUUUAUGCCCUGAACAUAGGACCCCCCCCUUUCACUUAUACCCCCCCCCGCGCCGCCCUGCUCCCCUCUGUCACACUGGCUGGUGUCGUUACAUUAGUGUCUGGGGAUCUGAUCACGCAUAGACCCACACACACACACACACACACACACAAUUCUUUAAUGCUUUCUCUAUCACUCUCUCGCUCGCGCUCUCACUUUCUCGCUCGCUCUCUCUCACGCUCUCUCAUUCGCUCUCGCUUUCGCUCUCUCUCUCGCUCUCUCUCGCUCUCUUCUCUCUCUCUCUCGCUCUCUUCUCUCUCUCUUCUCUCUCUCGCUCUCUCUGGUGUUUUCUUGGGCUGUCCUUGUAUCUGGGUGUUUUUCCUGCUAUGGAGGUACGGGCUUUGGCAACCAGCGUCUUAUGGGGAGAUUUUUAUGGUACAAGUCCUUAAUGUUUAAGGAACAUGAUUUAGAUGCAUAUAUAUACAAAUAAUAAAUCAUUUCUUGUACUUUUUUUUUUCUUCAUAUUAUUGAAAGGAAAUGCAUUCAUGUCUGGGGUUCGUAAAGGAAAUGCAUUCAUGUCUGGGGUUCGUAAAGGAAAUGCAUUCAUGUCUGGGGUUCGUAAAGGAAAUGCAUUCAUGUCUGGGGUUCGUAAAGGAAAUGCAUUCAUGUCUGGGGUUCGUAAAGGAAAUGCAUUCAUGUCUGGGGUUCGUAAAGGAAAUGCAUUCAUGUCUGGGGUUCGUAAAGGAAAUGCAUUCAUGUCUGGGGUUCGUAAAGGAAAUGCAUUCAUGUCUGGGGUUCGUAAAGGAAAUGACAUGAGGCUAAACUUUGCACGUUAUAGCUUUAAAAGAGCAUGUUUCAUAGUGUUCUGAUCAUUCCUUCGUUGUGUUUUACCUCGUCAUGUUCUGUAGUCGUCCUUUGUCUCUGCUCACGUGACAGCCAUACAUACUAUUCAAACUGCACAGAGGGAACUAAGGUUAGAGGGUGCUGAGUGGACUUCACUCUGACACACACACACACACACACGAGGCUGUUUCUUAUCACUGACUUUACGAUCCCUGAUGAUUUGAUUCUGUUCUUUGUCCAUUCAGCUUUCAGGUUAAUUUCCUGAACGGGAAUAGAGUAAAUGAAAGGCUGUUUUUAAACUGACUCCAGGUGUAUUAGUAGUAGUAAGAAGGAAGAGAAAAACCGAAAGAAUUUAUUGUACACUGAGAUUUUAACGUAUAUUUAACCCUCAGUCUACUGCCUAUUUUGUUAUAAUAAAAAGUCUAUAUUGAGCUUUACUUCAAAACUCAUACAGCUAUGGGGAAUUAUUGUAUUUGCCAUGUUGAACGUAUAAAUAUGAAUAUAUAUAUAUAUAUAUAUAUAAAUAUAUUUUCCUUUACUUUCACCAACACCCUAUCGGUUUCAGUUAGUUUCUUAUGCGUUCAGUAGAACAGAGGAGACCUGUGGUCCUGAGUCAGAUCCCUCUGUAAGGUCAGAGAACGGGGGUUAAGGUCAGGAAUAGGACACACGUACACCGCCUGAACUCUGAACUCCGCUGACUGGCUGGGGUGUGAACUGUGUUGGUGAAGCAGUGGAAAUGUAAAGUAACCGACAUGGUGGCCUGGUUCUGGUUCUGGUUCUCCUCUCCCCAUCUCCAUGUCCACUUCCCUGCCAGUUUUCUUUUUUUUUCAUGUGAUGUGCAUGGUUUUUAGAAGCAGUAGUCUUUAUUAAAUAACAAACAGGGGGG